rnacentral:rRNA from 1 species
GACGAACGCUGGCGGCGUGCUUAACACAUGCAAGUCGAACGGUAAGGCCCUUCGGGGUACACGAGUGGCGAACGGGUGAGUAACACGUGGGCAACCUGCCUCAUAGAGGGGAAUAGCCUUCCGAAAGGAAGAUUAAUACCGCAUAAGAUUGUAGCUUCGCAUGAAGCAGCAAUUAAAGGAGCAAUCCGCUGUGAGAUGGGCCCGCGGCGCAUUAGCCAGUUGGUGAGGUAACGGAUCACCAAGGCGACGAUGAGUAGCCGAACUGAGAGGGUGUUCAUCCACUGUGGGACCGAGUCACGACGCAGACUCCUACGUGAGGCAGCAGUAGGGAAUGUUGCACAUUUGGUGCGAGCAUGAUGCAGCGACGCCGCGUGAGGGAUGACGGCCUUCCGGAUGUAAAACUCUUUCAGCACCGACGAAGCGCAAGUGGCGGUAGGUGCAGAAGAAGGACCGGCCAACUACGUGCCAGCAGCCGCAGUAA